GUGGGGAAUAUUGCACAAUGGGGGAAACCCUGAUGCAGCCAUGCCGCGUGUGUGAAGAAGGCCUUCGGGUUGUAAAGCACUUUCAGCGAGGAGGAAAGGUUGGUAGCUAAUAACUGCCAGCUGUGACGUUACUCGCAGAAGAAGCACCGGCUAACUCCGUGCCAGCAGCCGCGGUAAUACGGAGGGUGCAAGCGUUAAUCGGAAUUACUGGGCGUAAAGCGCACGCAGGCGGUUGGAUAAGUUAGAUGUGAAAGCCCCGGGCUCAACCUGGGAAUUGCAUUUAAAACUGUCCGGCUAGAGUCUUGUAGAGGGGGGUAGAAUUCCAGGUGUAGCGGUGAAAUGCGUAGAGAUCUGGAGGAAUACCGGUGGCGAAGGCGGCCCCCUGGACAAAGACUGACGCUCAGGUGCGAAAGCGUGGGGAGCAAACAGGAUUAGAUACCCGAGUAGUCC
rnacentral:rRNA from 1 species